GUGUAUUUUAAUCAAUAACUGUCGAUGCAGCAUUUAAUUACUAUAUAAGCUGCGCAUUCGACAUGAGGAAAUUAGUCUUAAGUUAGCAGUUAAGGUGGUUAGUUCGCUGUUGAAAGAAUCUAUUUUUGGUUUUUGGCAGUUGUUCGGCUGCUAUUAUCGAAGCAUGUACCUGCCCGCAAUAAUUGCCAUUGACAAGGAUAGUAGUUUCCGAUACGGAGGAAAUGAGGAAAUAAAUGCUGGUGUCGUUUGAAUUAGGAAGUUCAUUAAUAUGUAUUUAUUACAUUUUAAACGGGCCGAGGUAAAAUGUUACUGUUAUUUAUUAAUUUAUCCACGAAAUUUUAGGGCACCACCCAUGCUCUACUUAUAACUGUCCACAUGUCAAAAAAGCUCUUUAUCCUUUAUCGGAAUUUGCCUCUUUUACGUACUCUUUAAUUAGCAGGGUAAAAUCAACCAUUCCUAAAAAGCUUUGAUGGUUUGAAGCUACAGACUUGGAAAAAGGUGUAAAAGUAAGGAUUUGUCAAUUAUCUAGGAAGCAUGAAGCGAAAACCCAAAUGUUUAAAUGAAACCUGCUCUUUGACCAAUGGCAGGGCCGCAUAUAGAAAAUAAAAAAUAAGUAAAAUA